ACCGGCUCUGCCGUCCCUUCAGUCCUAAGAUCAGGACGCUUUUAUCUCAAAAAUGCGAUAGACAGAAAUGACCUGGAUAAAAUAUUUACACCGUGUAUGGCUCAACAUGCAACGUGCUUUUGUAAAUCAAGAAGGCUAAUAAACCAACAGAACAAAGGAUCAAAAUGAAGAUCCUCCGGUGCCAAGAGAAAAUAUGCUGAUGGAAGGGAUAAUGCCUGAGCGGCUGGCUCCGAGACCGGAGAGACAGCGGGCCGAGCCACCGAUGCGAGAGGACGUCUCCGGGCCUUCUCGGCUUCCUCCCUACAGACUCUGCGGCCUGGAAGUUUCGGAGGAGAGCCUUUGCUUGACCUUCAGCCGCCGCAGCUGGCAACUGCAGGAAUUCCAGAAACCCUGUUCAGGCUGCAGGUGGUACGCAGGCUUUUGUUUUCCAGAUGCAGGGUGAGUCACACCUGCAAGAAGGAACACACACACACACACACACACACACACACACACACACACACACACACGGCUCAGGGGUUAAAAGCACCGGCUGCUCUUGCAGAGGCCCAGGUUUUGAUUCCCAGCACUCACACGGAAGCUCACAACCAUCCAUUAACACCAGUCCCGUGGGGGGUCUGUGUCCUCUUCUGGUUUCUGUGCACACCAAGCACACAAGCGAUGUACAGAUAUACAUCCAAGCAAAGCACCCAUUAUACACGUAAAACAAAAUAAUGAAAAUUAAAAAUCUGCCUCGAGGCUGCUACUCCUUAAGUGUAACACAUACUAGUGCCUUAGUGUUGGAUGGCCUUAUCAGUUUUCUCAAUAAUGUUUUAUUUUUUAAGAAGGUCGUUCAUGUGUAACAGCAAUCGUCAUUGAGUAUCCGGGGAGGAGAACUGUUCCCCAGCUGCUAACUAUGGUAUUAACUCUUUUUAUUUUUCAGAUUAUCUAUCUAUCUAUCUAUCUAUCUAUCUAUCUAUCUAUCUAUCUAUCUAUCUAUCGUGGUAUUAAUCCUUUUUCAGAUUAUGUGUGUGUGUGUGUGUGUGUGUGUGUGUGUGUGUGUGUACAUGUGUGUACUCUGGAGGCCAGAAGAGGGCAUCAAAUCCCUUGGAGCUGGAGUUCCAGGCAGUUUUAAGAAACUGAACUCAGACCCUCUGGACAGGCAGCAAGUACUCUUGUUUUUGAGACAAAAAACUCCCUAUGGGACCCAGUGUGACAACGAACCCGUAAUUCUCCUGCCUCUGUCUUUGUCUCUCUUUGGUCUCUGUCUCUCUGUAAUUAUGGAAGCCUGAGGGGGAGGUGUUUAAGGAGUAAGAGAAGACAGCAGACGCCUGCCCGGCAGCCAAUCAGGUAGGUGGGAGCUGGGAAAUGUGGGUGGAGCGGAAGCACGGCUGAGGUUUCCCCAGGGCUUCUUUCUCCAGGGCGCAUCUGUGUGUCAGCCAUGAUCCUCAUGUUGGAAGGCCAUCUCCGCUUUCUACCUGCCCAGACCUGGGGCAAGAGCCAAUGAUGUCAUCCAUUCAGUGGCAGGAGACAAUGCACCUCACGCUGGCAUGAUGUCAUUAGUCUAUGGUAAUCUUUCUAAGUGUUUGCAAGAAAGAGAUGAGGUAUUUAGAGGUUUGGAUAGUUUGAAACGCGGCGAUUUUUCAAUCUUUCGAGCUGCCCAAUCCAGGGGCUUGUGAGUCUACAAGUGUCUGCCAUCUUUCUCGGUGUGUCAGAGAAAAUCGAGUGACGGAUCACUUCUCGGCGUCACUGCGCGAGACCAGUGACAAUCAGUGAAAUGAUUGUGUCUGCCUCUACACAUAUCUGUAAUUGAUUGCCUAAACCCUACGACUCUCUCUCCCAGUUGAUAUGAUGGAACACUGGAGUGAAAUCACUCUCGAUGAGGAGGAGCCAGGUCCAUUUGUUAUUUACUUCCCUGCCUGCUUCCCUCUCCCCAUCCGGCACCAAUUGUCCCACAAGAGAGCACAUUAUGGUAAUCAGCCAGAAUGUAUGUAUAGGAAUCAAUCAAGGCGAGAACCAUCGCAAGAGUUAUGACAUUACAAAGUCUGUUUGUAACUUUUGAUUUAUGGAAGAUUUUCCAUUUUAUAAAUUGGGAGUGAGGCAUGUUGGGAUGGUUUAACCCUUAAGUCCCCUGACAAGGAGAAUGCAUCAGGCAUGACAGCUAAUAGACAUCAGGCAUUUUAAUUAUCUGGUGCUCUGAGGUAACAUGUUUGGUUUGUGACUCUAGAAGCAGCCUCCAAUGCUCUGAACCUGUCGUUCGAAAAUAAAACUGGCUCGUUUUCUAGACUCGA